UAUUUAUAUAAACAGGGCAAAUUUCAUGUAUUUCAUAUAUAUAGAUUUAGGAGCAUAGUGAUAUUUUCCACCCUACACUCCCUCCUGCCUAUGCUUUCACCCUCACUCCUCCUUCCCCUCUUAUUCUUUCUUUUAAUUUUUUUACAAUGACAUACGUUCAGUUUAUUUAUAAUCAUAAAAUUAACCAUACAGUAAGUAAAGAAUUCAACAAAAAAAGAAAGAAAAAAAAAACUGUUCCAUGACAGUAGAAACAUGAGCUAUAAGCAAUAAUCAAUUCUCAAAAUGUUAAUUUUGCUCAUAUACAUUACAUUUUUUGUAUUCUAUUAGUUACCACAGAGCAGGGAAAACAUAUGAUAUUUGUAUUUUUAGGCCUGGCUUAUUUCACUAAAUAUAAUAGUUUCCAGUUGCAUCCAUGUUGUUGCAAAAGACAGGAUUUCAUUCUUUUUCACAGCUGAGUAAUAUUCCAUAUGUAUAUAUGUGUGUGUGUGUGUGUGUGUGUGUAUUUGCAUAUAUAUAUUAUGUGCUUUAGCCAGUCAGUGAUUGAUGGGCAUUAAGACUGACUCUGUAUUUUAGCUAUUGUGAAUUGUGCUGCAAUAAACAUGGGGUCACUGAAAACUCUCAUGUGCUGAUUGCAUUUCAUUUGGAUAAAUUAGAGCUUAAUGAUACUUCUCAUCCUGCUUUCCUUCCCUUUCAUGCUCUCUCCUUCUUUUCUUAUUUUUCUUUCAAUUUUUAUAAUGCCUGUCUAAUACCACUGUCACCCACAGAUAUUACUUUCUGGGCAUUGCUGCCUAAUGAGGUGUAAUCAAAAAGUGUCCCUCAGGCACUGGCCAUUCUAGGACAAUAAUCUUUCUGUUGUCUCUUCUUCUUGUCACUGAAAAUCCCACGUUAAUUGAAAGAACUCAUUCACUUUUCAGUUUCUUAAAGUAUUUGGCUUUACCCAUAACCCGUUUUUUCCUCCUGGGCCUUAGGUUUUAGAGAUAAAAACCAAGACAUAUUUUGUGGGGAGCUGCUUUUGCUGCUUUUCUCUCUGCCAUGUAUGUUCCUCACAGAAAUAAGUGGAAAAUAUCUCACCUAUUGGAAUUAGGAAAAAGAAAUGGUGAAAACAGGAGGAAAAAUUUUAUCUCAAAGAGUAUCCAAUCAAAAUAAAUGUAAGAAUUGAUAAAUGGAAGAAUAACUUUAUCUUGUCCUCAGAAUCACAAAUCCUCAGUCAAAGGUGCUUUCCAGUAGCACUUCUGUUUCUCUCAGAAUGCAACCACUGGGUUCCCAUGAAGAAAUUAAGGAGACAAGGAACUGAGUUGCAUUAAUUUCAUUCCUUACAUUUGUUUAAAAUACAUCUAGUGAUGUGUGAAAUUAUAUAAUUAUUAUGUGAAUAUAAUUUGUUAAUUAAUAUUUUCAAUGAUAGAUAAUUGAAAAGUUUUUGCUUGGCAAAUUUUUAUAAACCUUUUCACUCCCUUAAGCAACACAUAUCUCUUACUACUGGGCAUGUUUUUGGCCAAAAGAUGUGAUACUUCUGUGGCAAAUAAAGAAUUAUAAAAGCAAUUAUGAAUUUUUCAUUAUGAUUGCUCCUCUCUACUAGCAUAAUUUGUUAGACUUUGAAAUGAGGUCAUUUAAAACACACACACAAACAUCCGAGUUUUGAAGCCUAAAAGAUUAUUAGAUGAAUUCAGAAAAAUCUGAAAAAUAUGCUUUUAUAGAUACAGAAACUAAGGAUGAAGAAAGUUAAAUAAGUUUUUGAGACAGCUAACUUGUGAUAAGUAGUUUUAUAAACUUGAAUAUGCGAAGGAAUGCUCAGAUGCUGGUAAAAAAACUUAUUUUUGUGUAUGUCUUCAUAACUGAAUAUUUAUAGGGCAGAUUGGCAUUUGAACUGUCGGAGUAAAGAUGAUCUGCCCUCAUCAGUAUAGGUGGGCAUCAUCUAAUCCAUUGUGGGCCUAAAUAAAAAAAAGAUACAGAAGGUUGACUUUGUUCUCUGCUAGAACUGGGGCAGCCAUCUUCCCCCGUCUUGGAGACUGCCCGUGUUCAUGCUUUCAGACUUGGACUGGCCCAUCUUCUUUUCAGACCUUCAGAUUGCACUUAGAGCUAUACCACAAGCUUCCCUGAACUACUGGCGUGCAGAUGGAAGAUCACAAGAAUUACUUUCCAUAAUCGUGUAAGCCAGUUCUUCAUUAUAAAUAUUUUUCUCUGCAUCUAUAUAUGUUCUAUUGGUUAUAUUUCUCUGACUAAUAUGUAACUGUUGGGUUUGUUGGAAGAAAGGAAGAAAAUCUCUCUUAUUUGUUAACAUGAUUAACGUUCUAAGGUUUACAAAGUACUUUCUUGUGCUGAUGAGUAUUUGCCAUUUAAAAUUAUUCUCUAAAUUAUGCCUUAUUUUAUUUUCAUCCAAUAUAUCAUAUCUAGCAAUCUCAGUACUGGGUAUAUAUCCAAAACACUUAAAAUCAUCAUAUUAGAGAGGUACCUGCAGCACAAUAAGGAAAAUAUGGAAUCAACCAAGCUGCCCAUUAUCGGGUGAAUGAAUAAAAUAAAAUGUAUAUACACAAUAGAAUAAUAUUCAAAAAAGAAUUAAAUCUUGUAGUUUCUGACAAAAUUGAUGGAACUGAAGGACAUCAUGUUAAGUGAAAUAAUUUAGAAAGAGAGACAAAUAGUAUAUCUUCUGUCUCAUAUGUGGGAGUGAAGAAAAUCAGUAUGAACACACAAUUGUGAUUACUAGAGGCUGAGAGGGUUGGAAAGGAUAAAAGAAAUUUGGAUUAAUAAAUAGGGGAAGCUGUUUUUAGUUAAUUAGUUGUGAUAAAUAUAGCAUACUAAUAUAAGGCAAUAAUGGGGAAGCUAUGUGGUAUAUUAGGAAUUCAUACUACACAACUUUUUAAAUUUCAGAAAUUUGAAACUAUUCAGAAGUAAAAAAUAUAUAAAACACAAAUAAGCAUGUAAAACCCACAUACCUUGAAGGAACAACAUAAGUCACUUUCAAAGAUUGUGUUAUAUGUAGUGAACCAUUAGGAUUUCUUAGUUUAUAAAUUUUUGCCAGAGUAUGUGAUUGCCCACUUCAAAUAAUAUUACAGAAAAUAGGGAUUAGUAGUUUAGACAGCACCUAUUUUAGUAACCUCUUCUACCUACUUUAGUAACUACUUCUACCUACACAUAUCCUUCAAGAAGACAGAGUAUGGAUUACAUAUUCAUGCAUGUGUAAUUACCAUUUGGGAUACCCUGGUUUUACCCUUUUUAGUUCCCAAAAGAGAGGUACCCACAGUUAGUCCAAAGGAAGAUUAAAGGUACAGUCAUCUAAGACCUUCAAGUCUACCCAAAGUUUCUGACAUUAGCUCCCAGGAAUUACAGUCCAACUACAAAGUUAGAUGAUUUCACAAAGAACCCAUCUCACUUCUGAAGCCAACUGCAAAUUUAGGAGCUUCCCUUAACUACCCUUGAGUGUUAAAAUUUCCUUGAGAGACACACAGAAUGCCUGGUAUCUCUUACAUUCAAACCUAUGGCUUGUUACAUGAACAAGAUACAAAUUAGAAGCAGUCAAGUGAACAGAUGUGUAGGACAGAGUCUUAGAAAUUCUAAUUUCAAAAUUUCUGUUGUCUUCAGGAUGAACUGUCUUCCCCACAUCAAUAUGUGUUGAUAUUCAGGGAGUACUGCCAAUCUCAGAAGCUCACCUGAGCUUCUAUGUCCAGAAGCUUUAUUGGGGCUUUAUAAUGUAGGUGUGAUUAAUUGAACGAUAGCUGCAUAAUUAAUCUCCAUCUUUAUGCUCCCUUACCAGGAGGUUGGGUUGAUAUCAUCUAAUUGGAAGGGUUGCCUAUGAUACAUUUUAUUGGCAUAAUCUAUCAGGUAUGGUUUGAAGACCUACUGUGAUUGUUCUUAUUACUGUAAAUUAUUAAGUGUGGUUAAGGGGCCUAUUAUGAAUUAUAAAGGUACCACUAUCACUCAAUAAAUUACUAGUAUUUGAAAAUUGUCUCAAAAAAAAAAAAAAAAACCAGGAACAAUGCGCAGACUUCUCUUGGGUGAGGCCAAAGGUUUUUCUACACAAGAGAUAUCAGAAUUCUGUGAGGUACUGGUAUUAUUUGUAAUAGAAAAUUUUGAAUACUCUUUAAUUAGUCUCAAUGAGUGAAUCAUUCACACACAUAAACUUCCUUCUAACACUGUUUUUCUAUAUCCCAUAAGUUUUGAUAUGUUCUAUUGUCAUCUUCAUUCAUUCCCAGAAAUUUUAAUUUCCCUUUUCAUUUCUUCUAUGACCCACUAUUCAUUCAGGAGCAUGAUGUUCAGUCUCCUUGUGUUUGCAUAUGAUCUAGAAAUUCUUGAGUUGUUAAUUUCCAGGUUCUUUCCAUUGUGGUCAGCAAAGAUGCAUGCUAUGAUUUCAAUUCUUGGAGUUUGCUAAAUCUUGCAUAACUUUCUAGCAUAAGGUCUAUCCUAGAGAACAUUCCAUGUACUGAUGAAAAGAAUGUGUAUUCUUUGACUGUGGGAUGAAAGGUUCUGUAGCUCUCAGAUUCAUUUGUUCUAUAACAUCGAUUAGUUCUUUUGUUUCUUCGUUGAUUUUUUUAUCUCGUUAAUCUGGCCAUUGUAGAAUGUGGGGUUUCAAAAUCCCUCAUUACUAUUGUUGUCUGUGUCACAUUUUAGAUCUAUUAACAUCUGUGCCCUGGCACUUGGUACAUAUACAUUUAUUAUAGUUACAUCUCCCUGGUGAAUUGAUCCCUUAGUCAUUGCAUAAUGCCCUUCUUAGUGUCUUUUAACAUUUUUUGUGUUAAAGUCUAUUUUGUCAGAUAUUAGGAUGGUUUCACCUGCUCAAUUUUGGUUUCUGUUAGCACAGAAUAUCUAUCAAUCCUUUCAUUUUCAGCAUGCAUGUAUAUUUAGUAGUGAGGUAUGUUUCUUUUAGGCAGCAAAUAGGUGGGUCUUGUUUGUUAAUUCACACAUUCAUUCUGUAUCUUAAUUGUAGAAAUGGGCCAUUAUGCACUCAAAGCUACUAUUGAUAAAUAAUGACCUUUCCCUGCUGUUUUUCUGUAACUAUUCCUGUUGUUUAUCUUGGAUUUCCUCUGUACUUUUACUGGGAGACUUUUUGCCUUCACAUUCUUUCAUAAUGAUGAGUAUCUUUCUGUGUUUCUGUGUGUAGCACAUUCUUACGUAUCAUUUGUAUGUUUGGACAAGUGGUGACAAAUUUAAUUUCUGUCUAUUAUGGAAGAUCUUUAUUUCACCUUCAUUCAUAAAUGAGAGCUUUGCAGGGUACAGUAUUCUAAGUUGACAGUUUUUUUUUUUUCUUUUAAGACUUGGACUAUGUCUCUCCAUUCUCUCCUGGCCUGUAGGGUUUCUUGGAGAAGUAAGCUGUGAGUCUAAUUGGGGAUCCUCUGAAAGUAAUCUGGCAUUUUUCUCAUUCAAAUUUUUGAACCUUUUCUUUAUAUUUUACUGUUGCAACUUUGAUUACAGUGUGUCAUGGUGAAGAUCUUUAGGAGUUCUAUGUGCUUUAUGUACUUCAUAUACUUUUCUCUACAUUAGGAAAGUUUUCUGUAAUUGUUCCAGUGAAUACUCCUUCUAAUCCAUUGUCUCUUUCCACACCUUCAGGAACUCCUAAGACCCAUAUGUUGGGUUGCUUCAUAGUAUUACAUAUAUCUCUAACACUACUUUUAAUUUUUCCAAUUUCUUCUUUGUUUUGUUUUGGUCUCACAAAUUUCCAAAUAUUUGUCUUCUAGCUUAAAUAUUCUUUCUUCUGCCUUACCAAGUCUAUUGUUCAAGCUUUCCACUGUAUUUUUAUUUAACAUAUUGAGUCCUUAAUUUCUAAUAUUUCAGUUUGGUUUCUGUUUAAAAUCUCAAUCUCAUAGAAUUUUUCUUCCUUGUCAUGUAUGGAUUUCUUUAACUCAUGAGUUUGUUUCUUGUUGCUUCUGAGUAAUCUUAGGACUAUUCUUUUGAAUUCCUUUCCAGGCAUUUCAUCAAUAUAUUCAUCUUCACAUUCUAAUAUUCAAGUGUUUUUUGUGUUCCUUUCAGGGAGUCAUGUUGUCUUCAUUAUUCUUAUUUCUUGAAUUUCUUUGUUUAUUUUUAGACAUUUGUGGAAACACUUGUUGGUUUCUUCUCUGAUGGAUUUUAUCUUUAAACUAUACCUAAACGCCUUAGUGGAGUAUCUGUUGCAUCAUUGAAUACACUGAGGCAUGUGCUGGCUGUGGCCAGUGUUCUGUUGCAGUACUCCAGCGUGGGGGAUUCUCUCUCUAGACAGAGAGAGAAAAAAGAGAAAGAGGCAGAGAAACGGAGUGCUUCCCUCCACUGGUUUACUCCCCAAAUACCUGCAAUGGCCAAAGAUGGACCAGGACCAAUACCCGGAAAUGAGACUAUAAUCCAGCACAGGAAGUUUUCACUCAUCCUUCUAUUUACAAUGUGGUAAUGAGUUUGCAUCUUGUAGCCAUCAGGAUCUGCGUCUUCAGGAUGCCUGAUACCAUUCCUGUGGAUUGUCAUUUACAUUUUUAUUAAAGUUCUCCUUCUCAGCUCUCUGCUAUGGCCUGGGAAAGCAGUGGAAAAGGGCUCAAGUGCUUGGGAGCCUGCACCUGCAUGGGAGGCCCUAAGGAAGCUGUGACUCCUGGCUUUGGAUCGGUGCAGCUCCAGCCAUUGAGGCCAGGGGAUGUGAACCAGUGGAUGGAAGACAUCUCUCUUUUUCUGCCUCUGCCUCUCUGUAACUCUGCCUCUCAAAUAAUGACAUAAUCUGUGCCUGUCCUCCCAUGGUUUCAACAUCAGUACAUCCAUGAUCACUGUGAAGUGUGAGUUUCAGUUCUGUCUCUGCCUCUCCCACUGAGGUUGCUCUUAAUCUACAGAUGGAAGAACCGUUGUGAGGAAUUCUCAAAAGUUAAGUAUGUCAGGCCGGCGCCACGGCUCACUAGGCUAAUCCUCCGCCUAGCGGCGCCGGCACACCGGGUUCUAGUCCCGGUCGGGGCGCCGGAUUCUGUCCCGGUUGCCCCUCUUCCAGGCCAGCCCUCUGCUGUGGCCAGGGAGUGCAGUGGAGGAUGGCCCAGGUGCUUGGGCCCUGCACCCCAUGGGAGACCAGGAAAAGCACCUGGCUCCUGGCUCCUGCCAUCGGAUCAGCGCGGUGCGCCGGCCGCAGCGCGCCAGCCGCGGCGGCCAUUGGAGGGUGAACCAACGGCAAAGGAAGACCUUUCUCUCUGUCUCUCUCUCUCACUGUCCACUCUGCCU